rnacentral:lncRNA from 1 species
UCAUACACAACCAGUCACAGCAGGGCAAUCCAGUCAGAUAAAUUGCCAAUCUAAUACACAAACAAUUCAGCCCUUUAGAGCCCCUUCUCAGACAAAGGAAGAACAAACACAAAUGGAAGGGAAGUCAGACAUGGUAGUGUGACGUGGUUUGGCUGUGUCCCUGGCCAAAUCUCAUCUUGAAUUCUCUCAUGUCGUGGGAGGAACCUGAUAGGAGGUGAUUGAAUCAUGGGUGCAGGUCUUUCCUGUGCUGUUGUCAUGACAGUGAAUAAUUCUCAUGAGAUCUGAUGGUUUUAAAAAGAGGAGUUUCCCUGCACAAGCUCUUCUCUUGUCUGCUGCCAUGUGAGAUGUGCCUUUCGCCUUUCACUGUGAUUGUGAAGCCUCCCAGCCACGUAGAAUUGUCUCAUCCCAAUCAGACUUCUGAAGCUUAGUCCAAGAAGCCCAACUCAUUCAAUGGACUCACUGGGACCAACUAACCUUACCAGUUGAGAGAGAGAGAGAGAGAGAGAGAGAGAGAGAGAGAGAGAGAGAGAGGGAGGGAGGGAGGGAGGGAGGGAGGGAGGGAGGGAGGGAGGGAGGGAGGGAGGGAGGGAGGGAGGGAGGGAGGGAGGGAGGGAGGGAGAGAGAGAGAGAGAGAGAGAGGGAGGGAGCUCCCUGUUAGAGUGGGGGAGAAGACCAAAGGAGAGGCUCUGCCCACUGCCCUCUUCUGCUUCAUGAAAGGGGACCCUAUAUUUCAAGGAAGGGCUCCAUAACUAAAACAAAACAACAUGAAAAUAGCACAAGCUCUUUGAAAAUCACUGUGGAAUGCCAGUUACCCCACAAACCCCAUGCUGUCAGAUAUUAGCAAUGAUUUAUUUACUUUUUAUUCAUUUUUCUUUAGAUAAAGUUUAAAUACCAUGAUAUUUGCCCCUUUAAAGAGUACAAUUCAAAAUUUCUAACAUAUUUAAAGACCAUCACCCCUAUCCAAUUCCGGAACACUUUCAUUAUCACCAAAAGAAAUUCUGUAUCCAUUUGCAGUCACUCUCCACCCUCGGGCCCUGGCCACCAAUAUACUCUCUGUUUCUAUAGAUUUGCCAGUGCUAGACAUUUCAUAUAAAUGAUCUAACACUAUUAUAUCUAUAUGCAAAUAUGUGUAUAUUUGCAUCUGACUUCUUCCAUUUAGCAUAAUAUUCUCAAGGCUCAUCUACAUUGUAGCAUUUAUCAGUAUUUCCUUAUAUGGCUGAAUAAUAUUUCACGAUAUGGAUACAGGACAUUUUAUUUACUAAUCAGUUAAUGGAUAUUUGGGUUGUUUUCACUUUUUACUUACUAUAAAUAGUGCUGCUGUGAACAUUUACAGACAGGUUUUCGUGGGAAAGUAUGUUUUAAAUUUUCUGAGUAUGUAGUUA